rnacentral:rRNA from 1 species
UACGGGGGGGGGCAAGCGUUUGUUCGGAAUUACUGGGCGUAAAGGGCUCGUAGGCGGCCAACUAAGUCCGACGUGAAAUCCCCAGGCUUAACCUGGGAACUGCGUCGGAUACUGGUUGGCUUGAAUCCGGGAGAGGGAUGCGGAAUUCCAGGUGUAGCGGUGAAAUGCGUAGAUAUCUGGAGGAACACCGGUGGCGAAGGCGGGUCUCUGGGCCGUAACUGACGCUGAGAAGCGAAAGCAUGGGGAGCGAACAGG